rnacentral:rRNA from 1 species
CCUACGGGCGGCAGCAGUGGGGAAUUUUGCGCAAUGCUCGUAAGAGUGACGCAGCGACGCCGCGUGAAUGACGAAGGCCUUCGGGUCGUAAAGUUCUUUCGACAGGGAAGAAAAUGCCUAUAAGUAACUGUGUAUGUAUUGACGGUACCUGUAUAAGCAGCCCCGGCUAACUCCGUGCCAGCAGCCGCGGUAAUACGGAGGGGGCGAGCGUUGUUCGGAGGGACUGGGCGUAAAGAGCACGUAGGCGGUGUUGUAAGUCAUUAGUCAAAGACUAGAGCUCAACUUUAGUAAGGCUAGUGAUACUAUACUACUAGAGUAUCAGAGAGGAUUGCAGAAUUCCUGGUGUAGCGGUGAAAUGCGUAGAUAUCAGGAGGAAUACCGUUAGCGAAGGCGGCAAUCUGGCUGGAAACUGACGCUGAGGUGCGAAAGCGUGGGUAGCAAACAGGAUUAGAUACCCCAGUAGUC